CUCACUGCAGGGUUUAUGCACAGGUCUGUGUCACUGUGUGCUGUGUUCGGCGGAGGGACCCAGCUGACCGUCCUUGGUCAGCCCAAGGCAGCCCCCACCGUCAAUAUCUUUGCUCCAUCCCAAGAUGAGCUAGCCACCCCAAAGGCCACCAUCGUGUGUCUCAUCAGUGGCUUCUACCCGGGUGCCGUGGAGGUGGCCUGGACCAAGGAUGGCUCCCCUGUGUCCCAGGGUGUGGAGACCAGCCGGCCCUCCCGCCAGAGUGACAACAAGUACUCAGCUAGCAGUUACCUCUCACUCACAGCUAACCAGUGGCAGGCAGCCAAGACCUUCACCUGCAAGGUCACCCACGAUGGAAAGGUCAUCCAGAAGGAGGUGUCCUCAAGCCAGUGCACCUAGAUGCCACAUCCCUCCUGGACCCCCCCCCUCUAUCCCCACACAUGGGCUUCCCCAGCCCAUCCUCCUCCUCCUCUCUCUCCUGAUUUCAAUAAAGAUCUUUCUUUUCUCA